UGUAGCUCAACUUCAUCGCUUCUUUGUCACACCAACCCCUCUUGCCUUCUCCUCAUCUCUUGCUGAGACUGGCUGAGUUAGUCACGCUGUAGAGAGGUGCCAGGUUGCACGGGUAGGGAGGACAGCAGUGAAGCUUGGAUCAAAGUGUCUUUGAAGAGCAGACAUGAAGAAAGUGUCCUCAAAGGACCCAGAAAGCACCCCUCCUUAGCGUGCCACCUGCUUUUGGCCAUGGUUACAGACAGGAUGGCAGCCAGAUGGGCCACUCUGUGCCAGUUUAGCUUUUCUUACACAUCUCCCCUGUUGCAAGGAUGUGCUGGGAAGACUGCUCUCGUUCAUGUGGCAUCUGGUAGAGCAAAAGGGUCCUUGGGAACUUUCCACCUCCUUCAUGAAGGUGAUCCUGCAGGCACAGUUCAGCCCCAGCACAGCAAGGCUCACGGGAGCUGCCACGCGAGGGUCUGAUUCAUCGCUCGAAGAAGGACUAAGCAGCACUUGCCGCUUCGGCAGCAACGCCGGGCUGCAGAGAACCUGCUCCGGCGGCUGCAGCAGCUCUUGUAAGAGCUGAGCUGCAGUCACGGUUGGGCAGCGUUGCGUGGGGCUGAUUUCACUGUCAUUUGCACAUGUCUGGCAGGUGGACCAUGAGCCACUGAAGCAGCCCUGAGCCCCACCCUCGAGCCUCCCACCUUGCGAUAAGAAAAGCGCCGCUUCGCUUGUAGAGCCGAGGGGCUCUCAGCACUGGAGGCAGAAAGCGGGCAGGGGAAACCGCUGAGUAGUCACCCUGCAAGGGCAGGUAAAGCUUAUGACCCCGAACCAGUGAGCUGACACCAUCACCUGCAUGUCACACGUUCUGGAGGUGCUGCUAUGUUUCUUCGCACCGUUGGGGCAGCUGACUGCAUCUCUGAAUUCCCCUGACCAAGACACAAGAGCCUGCGGACGCCCAUACGCCAGGCAGCUCAGAGUCACCUCCGGCAAGCUUCUCCACCUCGGAGAGCAGGGCGCAGGCCUGAUGUUUCUAGGAAAGCAACUGCACAGGUUCUGGAGGUCAAGGACCCCCGAGCCUCCAGAGCGUGACAGGAGAGGAGCUGGGAACACUGCUGCUAGCAGGCUUUCGGGUGCCGGUGACAGACAGCGCGCUUCCUUCCCCACAGCACACCUGGGGAGCUCGCUGCCUGGAAGCUUCAGGCCAGCAGCGUAGGCAACGAGAAGAGGGGAAGAAGCACACGAGCUCUCUCAAGAGACCCUUUCUUUGGCGCUGACUUUACUUUCUUGCGAAACGGCAGCUGCACGCUUUCACUUUUGUGCCACAGAUAAGCAUCGCCCAGAAACAGGGGCUCGUCAAAGGGGUGCACCGCAGGCUGGGACGAUCUGGUGGGGGGCAACGGGCUCAUCAGGCGCAUUUGGGAGUCAUCUGCAUGGUACCGGGGAGGUUGGUAGCAAGGCUCAGGGCUGGACCUGGCUUGGGCAAAACCCUUUGCUACGCUGAAACACUUUUGGGUGCUCAGGCGAGAUAGCAUCUCGGAGAGGUCAGCUAUUCCCUGUGCUACUUUCUGUCUUCUUUAAGGGCAGCAUGAUAAUGAAGAUAACAUCAAUCUGUCGCUAAGAGAGACAUUCAGGUCAUGUGUGACACUAGCUGGGGGGGGGGCAUUAACCCUUUAGGUGCCGGGCUCGCCUAUAAAGGCAUCAGUAACUUUUUAACCAGGCCCAGACCAAAGGACAGCACUCCAACUGCAAUAUCGGCCCUGCAGAGAGGAGGUCACGGUUCGGUUCCCCGAGCGGUGGCAAAUCCACUUGCAAGCCACUUUGUCUCUCUUGUCCCUCUUACCUCUGCUCUGCUCCGUCUAUUCAGCUCUUUAGAGCAGCAGCUCGGCACACCAGCCCCGCCGCCGGGGUUCUAGGUAUUGCGGCGAUGCAGAUAACGCUGCGAGAUGGAAAGCCCCAGCCUGCACAGAAGAUUUUGAGGUCCUACACGCCGCAGAGCAAACAAACACCACAGCUCGCCUAUAAACCCACGCAAGUGCCUCGGGGUGCUCAAGAAAAGCUGAAAACAAUUCAGCCCAGCGUGGCAACUGCAAACAACCACAGGGCCAGAGGGAGGAUUUGAACCUCCUCUGGACCUGCAUGACUAGGAGGACAGCAGCAGAAGUAGGUCAGAGCGGUGGAAAAAUAAAAAUAGGGCAGAAAGGACAAAGAGCAGUGCGGUCGACCUGCCCUCUCUACGGGCAGGACACUUCUCUGCCCCAGGCUGUCAGCGUUUAUCUGCGCAACGUGGAGUAUCACAAAGGAUGCGGGUGGUUGGGGCACCUGUAGGAGCCAGCAGCUUGCAGGAUCCAGCUCUGACACAGUCAAAGGCAGGACUGCAGGUGGCACAGAGGCAACGCUGAGCUGUUUAAGCCAGCUGGGCUCCAGGGCUGAGGUAUCUGGGUCUGCGUGUUAGGUGUCUGUGACAGCAUGGCACCUAGCACCAGCCACCCGCCCACACCAAACACCACACUGCUGCAUGAACAAGGGAGUUUGAAACUAGCUCAAGUAAGCCAGCGUGAGCUUUAGCACAUCUGCCUGCAGAGCAGACGCAUCCCAACGUACCACUUGCCUAAUUUUAAUAGAUGCGCUCUGUCUCCGUUCCCUAGGUCACUUCAAAACUGCAAAAUCUUGCUUAACGUAAGAUUCAAACUGGUCCCAAAACCAGAGGUGUCCAGAGACCGCCCUUCCUGCGGGUCCCCGCGGCUAUGGAAACUGAAGUUCACCAACUCCUGAGCAGUUACAUUUCUCCUUCAAAAUAGAUAAGAAAAUUGCAUCAACCUCUAUCUGAGCAACCAUGGCAACUUGUUAAAUUAGGUCAAGAUGUGGGGGCAGAUAACGCAGCUUUGAAAAGCUGCUCGCGAGCUGGGUGAAGAACACAUCAAACACAACUGGAGCUUCCGCCAAAAUGCACCUUCUCACCAAAGCAUGCGCCUCCUAGGGCAGAUACCAUCAGAGCUCUGCCACGGCUGUGAUAAAGCACAGUGCCACCUCCCAGGGCCACCAGCAAAACAGGCCCUCGGUAACAAAACCUGAACAAUGUUGUCAAGCUCCUAAAGCCAACACAGAGAGCCCUGGAGAAAAAGGAUGCCGUGACCGUCCAAGGCUUCGCUCUUCCACCUCUGCUCUGCACAUCCUAAAAUGGCACACUGAGGCACCUCGGGUUAUCUGUUGGGUGCUCCACCGGUUGGUGACCAGAUGCCUGGGGUUGGACAUGCCCUCACCUGGGUGAAGAAUGGAAACCAGGGGUCCUGGCUGCUUUGGGACCCAGUGCUGGUAAUCCCCUGGUCUACUCACUAGGCUCCACCUCCUCACCAGAGCUGGAAACACAGACUAGACUUGUAGUUCCUCUGCUCUAGCCAGUAGACAGCACUUCCUCCCCUGAGCAAAGUAAAAGCAAAGUGAAGAACCAAGGAGCUCUGCCCGAGAGUCCUCACGCCCCUCGCUCAGCUGCACCGAGAGAGAGGUCCAGCACUUCUCCCCCAGCCAUUCUGGAUAUCUUUUGCAGAACGACCCUAAUCCAAAGCCGUGCUGAGGGGGCCCAGUUCUCCUAUGGUUUCUAUCGUGUUAUCCCUCGCUCUCACUGUUACCUGUUUUCACAGCAACCUGGCUUCACUUUGCUCCCGUCCUGCGCUCCCUUGGCACAGGCAGGGGGAGGCGCA